CUACAACACUGGAGAGGACAGGAGACUUUAAUAAGCAAUAUAGAGAAGACUGAAAUUCUAAUCAAAGCCAUACUUCUGUCCACCAUCAUCACAGGACUCAGCUAUAAGAAAACCUCAAAAGUGUUUCUAGCAAUAGUAGCACUGGAAGGACACUGCCACAUCACCUUUCAUGACUCCUAAAAACACAUCCACCUUGUCUUUUUUACUCCAUAAAUUUCCUGCAAAUGCCAAACAGUAGGUACUCGCUAAAUAUUACUAAUAAAUCUGAUUUCUCACCAAACUGUA